CCGCCCCUACGCCCUCCCCAAAUGUUAUACUUGUGUUUAUGAUGUUAGAGUAUGAUAGUAAAAAAAAUGACCUUAGAGUAUAGGAUUACCGCGCUUAGUGUGUUUACUCGGUCUCGUCUCGUGCCCCCUCUGCUCCGGCGUCAGCUAGGGUAGAAUAGAAGUAGGACAAAUGGGACCGUGGGUGUCAUAUGCAGUGGACGAGUCGUCCCGGUCCAGUCUUUUUCCGUUUACCUUCGUUAGGUUGCCCGACGGCCGCGCGGGCUAGCCAGCCUCUAGUUUAGUUUGCGGCUUGGGCGCGCUUUCGUGCCAGUUAGUAACCGGUUAGCUGCCGAUAUUCGGGGGGCGGGGUAGAAGGGGCGGCUAGUAGGAGGGUAGUGUAGCGCGGCCAGUCACCAGUGAGCGCGGCAUUAGUGUGCGCGGAAGGCAUUGUGAGCCCGCUCCUCGCCUUCGGUGCUCUUCGGCUCUCGUGCGUGCGCGCGUGCGCUGCGGUUGAUUGCGCGGAGGGGGUGCAAAGGUCCCUCGAGCGGUGCAGACUGGUUGGUCGGUUGGUUGGUUGGUGGUGGGGCACGACCGGGCCUCUUGAGGCUGCUCCUGCCCUGCCUCGACUUGGCCCUCCGCGCCGGCGCCGCUACCGGCCCACCGCCCGGAUCCGCCCCCUCGCCGCUCGCGUACCGCAGCAGCUCCCACUACCGCAGCAGCAGCAGCUUCGGCGGCAGCGUGUGCCGCAGCCUAGAGCGCGCGAAGCGCGUCCGUCGACCCUCCGGGCCGCCGCCCCCGCCGUCGCCCGACCCCAGGUACUUGCACCUCCUCGACGAGGCGCCGUAGAUGCCGCUGCGGGGGUGCGGCCGCGGGCUGGCCGGCCGCAGCGGGGGGCAGGGCGGCGAGGGCCGCGGUAGCGCCGUUGUCCGCUGGCGCGCCGCCUGCCGCCUGCUCCACACCUCUCUCUAGUGGCCGCCAUCGCCGCCCCUCCUCCUCCGCCGGGGCCGGAGGCGACCGCCCCGGCCCCUCUACUGCGACCUCCUGAAGGACCGCUCCCUCCUGCCGCGGCAGCAGUCCCCCUGCCUCCUCGUCCACCGCUACGGCUGCUACCGCGAAGAGCCGCCCCGCCUCCCGCGCGCCCCGCCGCCCUCCCCCUCCUUCGCCGUCGAGUACCUGGGGUACCUGGCGCGGCGCUACGUCGCCGUAUUCGCCUACUAGUUCUUGGCGCUCAGGCGGCGCUCCAGUGCCCUCUCCUUCGUCCGGAUGUAUCGCCUCGAGCUCAGCGACCAGUGGGUCGAGCUUCUCCUCUUGCGGGUGGACAGGUUUCUUGUCCUCCUCCGUUUGGUCUCUGCCGACUUUCUCGAGUUCCUUUUUAACUGAGGUCAGUAAUAACGUUUUUGCGGCAGUGUUCUAGAAUCUUCUUGUUUGAGUUACCUCACCAUCUGUACUCGGUUCGAGUCAUCGGUAGGGGAAUGUCGAUACAUCUAAAACUAAACAAACAGACAGUAAGGAGACAAAUAACCUCAAUUGAGUCAACAACAUUGAAUCAUCUAUAUCGUAUUUGUCGAAUUUACCUUAGUAUUACACAUCUCGCCUUCCGACGCAAACUCGUUUUACCUUAGAGUAGUCGUCGAAUAUAAGACAGA
rnacentral:rRNA from 1 species